UAAAAAUAGAAUGAUGAAGCCUUAUGAAACCUUCAUAGAAAUAUUAAUAUUAAAUUUUCUUUUACUUAAAAUCUUUGUUAGAGUUAAGAAUUGUUUAUUUUGCUUUGUGGUUUCAGAAUACAUGGCUUUUAUCCUGAUUUAAAGAGCAAAAGCGUGGGAUAACUUGUGGAGCUCAUUAAGGGUCAUGUGUGGUUUCAUAAUUCUUGUACCAUUAGAAGACUAGAACUACUUUAAGUGCAGUAAAGCUUUUAUUUUUUUCCUCUGUAUUGGUUAUGCAUAAGGUAGAGAGGAUUUACUAAGUUUACCUGGUGAUAUUUCUUUUAGUAGAAAACAUCUAACUGGUUUUCUAGAUGGGCUCAUUUUGACUUGUUUUCAGUAAGUCUUCUGGUAAUAAUGGAUAAGGUCAUCGUGAGUUGGAGCUCAUUCAGUGGCAACUAGCAGUAAUGGAUCUAUGAAGAAGGAUGUCACUGGAAUAUUAACUGCUACCUUUUCUUCUUUGAAACUGGUGUUUACUAAACUUGAAUAUUAAAAAAUAUAUAGAUUCACAAAUUUUUACCCUCAUUCAUAAACUUUUGCAUCCUUAGUAUCUGAGUAUUAGCACUUGAUUGCAUUGAAUAUUAUUAGCCUGUUUAGAUUACUGUAGGUUUAUAGUACAUUUUGAAAUUGGAAAGUGGGAGUCCUCAUACUGUGUUUUUCCUUUUCAAGAUUACUUCGGCUGUUUGGGGCCCGUUAAAAUUCCAUGUAAAUUUGAGGAUUGACUGUUCCAUUUCUGCAAAGAAGGCUUUGGAAUUUUGCUAGUGAUUGCAUCUGUAGAUUGCUGUGGUAGUAGUGACAUCUUAAUGAUACUGAGUCUUCCAAUUUAUGAACAUGGUGUUUACAGCUAUAAAUUUUCCUCUGAGUACAGCCUUUUCUGCAUCACUAUUUCUAGGUAUUUCUGAAAGUCUAGGUACAUUACAGCAGUAAUUGAACGUCUGAAUAUAACUGGCAUUUAUUUAUAAGGUAAGGCAAGUGGUUCUUAACUGGGGGCAGUUUUUGUCCCUGGGGACAUUUGACAGUGAUGUGUGGAGACUUGUUGCUUGUCACACUGAGGUGGGGAGAUUAGGAGGUACUGGGAGAGAGGGCGUGCUGCUAGGAACUAGUAGGUAGUAGAGGCCAAGGAUGCUGCUAAACAUCCUAAUGCACAGGGUAGUCCCCCCCCUCCCCCCAAAGAAUUGUGUGUCCUAAAAUGUCACUAGUGCCAAGGCUGAGAAACCUUGUUAUAAAAGAUAAGAGAUAUAUACGAAUACAGUACAAAAAGUGUCCUCACUCAUGUGCUUUUUUCUCUAGCAACUAGAUUUCUGUGUAACUGUCCUUAUGCAAAGUGUAUGAAGAGUAUUCUGCUCUUGACUGACAUCUAGUGAGACAUUUAAAAAUAAAAAGUAAAGCUGUAGGUUAAGAUUAAGCAUGUAAAUCAGAGAGUUACUGCUAAUACUUACUUUUCUACUCUUAAGAGAGUUUGCAGAUAAGGAAACUAGGAAAAGAUUAGUUUAUGGCUACUGAGAAAUUGUAACUGAGAAGUAAUAGAAUGUAGUAAAUUCUUAGCUUAAGUAUUGUUAAGCUUUUAUGUUUGAUUUAUAUUCAUGAUUUUAGUAUUAGAACUUAGGAUAUAAAAAUCUUUCUUUUGAUAGCUUUCUGAAUAACUGAUGAUCUAUCCACAUUCAAGACUUUUUCCAUUUUAAAAAAUUGCCAAAAAUCAUGGAAUUUUAGAGCCAAAGCAGACCUUGGUGAUUUAGUCUAAUUCUAUCAUUUAAAGAAAUUAGAGAGUUGAGUUUCAGAGAGGUGAGGUUGAGGUGUUCUUAGCCAAUAUCAUACAAGUUGUUAGUGCCACAUCUAGAACUCGAACCCAGAGCUCCUGACUUCUAGUCAGAUAUUCUUUCAGAGUAAAGGCAAGUAUUAAGCACACUUUGGAUUCUAAUGGAAGCUGGGUUUUUUUUUCCCCAAUCAGACUAUGAAUAUUAAAACUAUUGAAUUAUUAUUUCCUGAGAAUACAUCUGUAUGUGUGUUUUAAAAUGAAUUAGUAGUCAUGUUUAUAAACCUUGUGUUUCAUUUAGUUUUAAUUUGUAAAUGUUAAUGUCAGUUUAAACUUGAAUAUUUAAAAUUUUUG